rnacentral:rRNA from 1 species
GAGUCUAUGGACUUCGGUCCAUGGCGGACGGCUCAGUAACACGUGGUUAACCUACCCUUAGGUGGGGGAUAACCUUGGGAAACUGAGGACAAUACCCCAUAGGAAAAGAGGUUUGGAAUAAUCCUUUUCUGAAAGGACAUCCGCCUAAGGAUGGGACUGCGUCUGAUUAGGUAGUUGGUGGGGUAAUGGCCCACCAAGCCUACGAUCAGUACGGGCCUUGAGAGAGGGAGCCCGGAGAUGGGGACUGAGACACGGCCCCAGGCCCUACGGGGCGCAGCAGGCGCGAAACCUCCACAAUGCACGAAAGUGCGAUGGGGGAAUCCCAAGUGCCUAUGUAAAACAUAGGCUUUUCCCAAGUUUAAACAACUUGGGGAAUAAGGGCUGGGCAAGUCCGGUGCCAGCAGCCGCGGUAACACCGGCGGCCCAAGUGGUAGCCACUCUUAUUGGGCCUAAAGCGUCCGUAGCCCGGUUAGUAAGUCUCUGUUUAAAUCCUACGGCUUAACCGUAGGGCUGGCAGAGAUACUGCUAACUUGGGACCGGGAGAGGAAGAGGGUCUUCGG